rnacentral:rRNA from 1 species
UACAGAGGUGUCAAACGUUGUCCGGAAUUACUGGGCGUAAAGGGCGCGUAGGCGGCCUUAUAAGUCAUGUGUGAAAGCUCUGGGCUCAACCCAGGAAUUGCAUGUGAUACUGUAAGGCUCGAGUUCGGUAGAGGAGGGCGGAAUUCCAGGUGUAGCGGUGAAAUGCGUAGAUAUCUGGAGGAACACCCGUGGCGAAGGCGGCUCUCUGGUCCGAAACUGACGCUGAGGUGCGAAAGCUAGGGUAGCAAACAGG